rnacentral:rRNA from 1 species
GACGAACGCUGGCGGCGUGCUUAACACAUGCAAGUCGAGCGGUAAGGCCCUUUCGGGGGUACACGAGCGGCGAACGGGUGAGUAACACGUGGGUGACCUGCCCUCAGCUCUGGGAUAAGCCUGGGAAACCGGGUCUAAUACCGGAUAUGACUCCAUGACGCAUGUUGUGGGGUGGAAAGCCUUGUGCGGCUGAGGAUGGGCCCGCGGCCUAUCAGCUUGUUGGUGGGGUGAUGGCCUACCAAGGCGACGACGGGUAGCCGGCCUGAGAGGGCGACCGGCCACACUGGGACUGAGACACGGCCCAGACUCCUACGGGAGGCAGCAGUGGGGAAUCUUGCGCAAUGGGGCGAAAGCCUGACGCAGCGACGCCGCGUGAGGGAUGACGGCCUGGU